AGUGAACGCUGGCGGUAGGCCUAACACAUGCAAGUCGAACGGCAGCACAGUAAGAGCUUGCUCUUACGGGUGGCGAGUGGCGGACGGGUGAGGAAUACAUCGGAAUCUACUUUUUCGUGGGGGAUAACGUAGGGAAACUUCCGCUAAUACCGCAUACGACCUACGGGUGAAAGCAGGGGAUCUUCGGACCUUGCGCGUUUGAAUGAGCCGAUGUCGGAUUAGCUAGUUGGCGGGGUAAGGGCCCACCAAGGCGACGAUCCGUAGCUGGUCUGAGAGGAUGAUCAGCCACACUGGAACUGAGACACGGUCCAGACUCCUACGGGAGGCAGCAGUGGGGAAUAUUGGACAAUGGGCGCAAGCCUGAUCCAGCCAUACCGCGUGGGUGAAGAAGGCCUUCGGGUUGUAAAGCCCUUUUGUUGGGAAAGAAAAGCAGCAGGUUAAUACCCCGCUGUUCUGACGGUACCCAAAGAAUAAGCACCGGCUAACUUCGUG
rnacentral:rRNA from 1 species